rnacentral:rRNA from 1 species
GGCUUAACACAUGCAAGUCGAGCGGGGGAAGGUAGCUUGCUACUGGACCUAGCGGCGGACGGGUGAGUAAUGCUUAGGAAUCUGCCUAUUAGUGGGGGACAACAUCUCGAAAGGGAUGCUAAUACCGCAUACGUCCUACGGGAGAAAGCAGGGGAUCUUCGGACCUUGCGCUAAUAGAUGAGCCUAAGUCGGAUUAGCUAGUUGGUGGGGUAAAGGCCUACCAAGGCGACGAUCUGUAGCGGGUCUGAGAGGAUGAUCCGCCACACUGGGACUGAGACACGGCCCAGACUCCUACGGGAGGCAGCAGUGGGGAAUAUUGGACAAUGGGGGGAACCCUGAUCCAGCCAUGCCGCGUGUGUGAAGAAGGCCUUAUGGUUGUAAAGCACUUUAAGCGAGGAGGAGGCUACUUUAGUUAAUACCUAGAGAUAGUGGACGUUACUCGCAGAAUAAGCACCGGCUAACUCUGUGCCAGCAGCCGCGGUAAUACAGAGGGUGCGAGCGUUAAUCGGAUUUACUGGGCGUAAAGCGUGCGUAGGCGGCUUAUUAAGUCGGAUGUGAAAUCCCCGAGCUUAACUUGGGAAUUGCAUUCGAUACUGGUGAGCUAGAGUAUGGGAGAGGAUGGUAGAAUUCCAGGUGUAGCGGUGAAAUGCGUAGAGAUCUGGAGGAAUACCGAUGGCGAAGGCAGCCAUCUGGCCUAAUACUGACGCUGAGGUACGAAAGCAUGGGGAGCAAACAGGAUUAGAUACCCUGGUAGUCCAUGCCGUAAACGAUGUCUACUAGCCGUUGGGGCCUUUGAGGCUUUAGUGGCGCAGCUAACGCGAUAAGUAGACCGCCUGGGGAGUACGGUCGCAAGACUAAAACUCAAAUGAAUUGACGGGGGCCCGCACAAGCGGUGGAGCAUGUGGUUUAAUUCGAUGCAACGCGAAGAACCUUACCUGGCCUUGACAUACUAGAAACUUUCCAGAGAUGGAUUGGUGCCUUCGGGAAUCUAGAUACAGGUGCUGCAUGGCUGUCGUCAGCUCGUGUCGUGAGAUGUUGGGUUAAGUCCCGCAACGAGCGCAACCCUUUUCCUUACUUGCCAGCAUUUCGGAUGGGAACUUUAAGGAUACUGCCAGUGACAAACUGGAGGAAGGCGGGGACGACGUCAAGUCAUCAUGGCCCUUACGGCCAGGGCUACAC